UACGGAAGGCAGCAGUGGGGAAUAUUGCACAAUGGGCGAAAGCCUGAUGCAGCUAUGCCGCGUGUAUGAAGAAGGCCUUAGGGUUGUAAAGUACUUUCAUCGGGGAGGAAAAACAAAACUAAUAAUUUUAUUUCUUGACGUUACCCGAAAAAGAAGCACCGGCUAACUCCGUGCCAGCAGCCGCGGUAAUACGGAGGGUGCUAGCGUUAAUCAGAAUUACUGGGCGUAAAGAGCACGUAGGUGGUUUUUUUAAGUCAGAUGUGAAUCCCUGGGCUUAACCUGGAACUGCAUUUUGAAACUGAAAUACUAGAGUAUCGUAGAGGGAGGUAGAAUUCUAGGUGUAGCGGUGAAAUGCGUAGAUAUCUGGAGGAAUACCUGUGGCGAAAGCGGCCUCCUAAACGAAUACUGACACUGAGGUGCGAAAGCGUGGGGAGCGAAACAGGGAUUAGA
rnacentral:rRNA from 1 species